GAUGAACGCUGGCGGCGUGCCUAAUACAUGCAAGUCGAGCGAACAGACGAGGAGCUUGCUCCUCUGACGUUAGCGGCGGACGGGUGAGUAACACGUGGAUAACCUACCUAUAAGACUGGGAUAACUUCGGGAAACCGGAGCUAAUACCGGAUAAUAUAUUGAACCGCAUGGUUCAAUAGUGAAAGACGGUUUUGCUGUCACUUAUAGAUGGAUCCGCGCCGCAUUAGCUAGUUGGUAAGGUAACGGCUUACCAAGGCAACGAUGCGUAGCCGACCUGAGAGGGUGAUCGGCCACACUAGAACUGAGACACGGUCAAGACUCCUACGGGAGGCAGCAGUAGGGAAUCUUCCGCAAUGGGCGAAAGCUUGACGGAGCAACGCCGCGUGAGUGAUGAAGGUCUUCGGAUCGUAAAACUCUGUUAUUAGGGAAGAACAAAUGUGUAAGUAACUAUGCACGUCUUGACGGUACCUAAUCAGAAAGCCACGGCUAACUACGUG
rnacentral:rRNA from 1 species